UAGGGAAUAUUGCACAAUGGAGGAAACUCUGAUGCAGCGACGCCGCGUGAGUGAUGAAGGCCUUCGGGUCGUAAAGCUCUGUCGCAGGGGAAUAACACAAUGAAGGUACCCUGCAAGAAAGGAUCGGCUAACUUCGUGCCAGCAGCCGCGGUAAGACGAGGGAUCCUAGCGUUGUUCGGAAUUAUUGGGCGUAAAGCGGGUGUAGGUGGCUAUGUAAGUCGGGUGUGAAAGCCUGGGGCUCAACCCCAGAAGUGCAUUCGAUACUGCGUAGCUUGAGUGGUAGAGAGGAUAGUAGAAUUGUUGGUGUAGUGGUGAAAUACGUAGAUAUCAACAGGAAUACCGGUGGCGAAGGCGGCUAUCUGGCUACACACUGACACUCAGACCCGAAAGCGUGGGGAUCAAACAGG
rnacentral:rRNA from 1 species